UAGCGAACGGGUGAGUAACACGUGAGCAACGUGCCCAAGACUCUGGAAUAACUUCGGGAAACCGGAGCUAAUACUGGAUACGAGACGUAAAGGCAUCUUUAGCGUCUGGAAAGAAUUUCGGUCUUGGAUCGGCUCACGGCCUAUCAGCUUGUUGGUGAGGUAAUGGCUCACCAAGGCGACGACGGGUAGCCGGCCUGAGAGGGUGACCGGCCACACUGGGACUGAGACACGGCCCAG
rnacentral:rRNA from 1 species